ensembl:lncRNA
AUUUUAAAAGGAGCACGAGGACUGAUAUUUGGGAGGAAUGGGAGCGAGAGAGAAGGAAGCGCUCGGGUCUGCAAGCGACUAGAGGCUCACGGAGGGCCCAAGAGACUGUCUAUCAUGGAUAAUUAACUGCAGUUCUGUGAGUAUCCCAAAUUAACCAUGAAGAUGAACUGCGAACUGUAAGUCAUUAAUUUCUCAUUACUCUUGGGCACAUUGAUGUAUUUUGGCUUCCUGGUGAGUUAACUUGUUACCUGAAGGUUGAUCUGAGUAAGGAUGUUUUAUUGGUUCAUGGGUUACUUAGGUGUUUUGUUUAUGUUGGUUUGAAAUGAUUUGUUAAAAUGGUUACAGGCUCCAGUGAAUUGUUGUAAGCAGGAGUAAUGGGUUGGGUUCUGAUAUCUUCAGUCUUCUUUCAUUCUACUCUCCUGACGUCUGCAUCUUUAUCACAUGAGUGUUGCUUUACUGAUGAGGGUGUGGUCUGAGCGAGCGGAGGUGCAUACUGGGAUACAGAGCUGUCUGAAGUCUACAGGUCUGUAGACACGCCCCCUCAGGGGAAACCGAGUGUUUGAGAAAUCGUCGAGACGUCAGUUACAUGGACUGGAAUGUUCUUUAAAAUGGACUCAGGGAUUCAGAAGGAGAAACACCAGGGGGAGAUGAGGGGGGCUCUUCAUCUCAACGACUAAAACACAACUUCAGUCUGACACAGAACCAUGGAACACAUUCAACAGUCUCCUCCAGGCAUCGUGAAUCCUCAAGAACAGUUUCAUUUCCAAGAAGGUCCUAUUUGGGGCCAUCCCCAUAUGGAUCCUGCUCCUCAAGAGCCACCCCCCUCCACUGGGUGGUCUUCUGAACAGAUGACCUCCUUCCUGUCCUCUGGCUGACUAAAGCUGCACAGUUUGCAUCUGUGAAGGCCCGUCAUUCAGGAAACCACUGGACUACAAAGACAUGACUUCAGAGAUGUUGAAUCAACCUGGGACACAUUUUGGAGACGCCAAGCAUAAUCCAUCACCAAUGUGGGACGCCACUGAAGAAUGUUGUACAUAAUUUACGUCUCUGGAGACAUUGGUUGUUCUGUUAUGGGUGCCCUGGCAGGAGAGCUGGGGUGAUGGAAUGUUAUUUGGCAUGAGGUUUUUACCCUGCAUGAUUGUUUGGCCUUUUAUGGCUCAGUGUUGUGUGUUUGGCAUGAGAUGGAUGUUUUUUGAGCAUCGAUAGGGUUCUUGUGUGUGUGUGUGUGUGUGUGUGUGUGUGUGUGUGUGUGUGUGUGUGUGUGUCUCUCCGACUCACACCUGGCAUGGGGUUCUACGUGCCUGUUCUGGGUUCUGUGUGCGUGUCCGGCUUGCUUUGACAGUGAUGUUCAUGCAGGGGUCUAUGUGAUUGGCCUGGGAUAUUGGAAUGGUCAAAUAAAUCAUACCUGAUGGACGGCCACAUGUUUACUUAAGGGCCUCCAGUAGACAUGAAGAGCCCUGAGCGACGCUCCGGAGUGAUAUCCAACACACUGGGCAGGAAGGAGAGUAUCCAAAUCAAAUGUAAAAGGAUGCAAGCAGCGUGUUCAGCUCAGCGACUUCAAACUAGGACUACACCAAUCAGGAUCAAUGGAGGAUGGACACCUAAAGGAAUUCCACAAGGAGACUGACGUUGGAAAGGGACGUAAAUGGAUAUUCAAGAUGACAUUCAGACCUGUAAUGAGACGGCUCUUCCUACCUGGCUGGAUUGAUGGAGAGCCCUCUGGAUCUUGUCUUGCUCUCAGUUGCACGUCUUCUCAGGCUGAACUGUAUUUUUUUCGGACAGGACUAGCUGAACGAUUGGUUCCUCAAAUCAGAACCACUCCGGGAACUCCAGCUAGUGCACUCUUCAAGCUGAAGUUGUGCUCUUCAGCUGAGGAGGUAAGGAAACCUUCGCUGGGGCUUCAAGGUGUAAAGAGGAGAAUGUUUGGAAGUGUUCCAUGGUACUCUGAUGAAGACCGUUGUUGUUUUCCUCUGGCUGAGAGAAUCAACCCACAUCUUCCUCUUGGACUUUCUCCUCUGAGAAGCCUGGCGCCAUCUUGAAGGAUAUUCCAGCUCAUGUAACUGAUGUCACGACAGAUUCUCAAACACUUGGUUUCUCCUUAGGGGCGUGUCUAUAGAACUGAAGACUUCAGACGGCACUGUAUCCCAGCAUGCAUCUCUGCUCACUCAGACCACACCCCCAUGAGUAGGAUGCAACACUCUAGUGAUGGAGAUGUAGAGUUUUAUAAGUAACGAGGGAGCAGACAAAGGUGAUUAGAACACUAUGGAAUGUCAAGUCUGUAAAUCUUUAAACCAUGAAGAUGGUUGGAUAGUUCAGGAAUUGGGCUUCUCUUCAUCAUUGGCAGUCUUUUCACUCAGAUGCCCACUUCUCACUGGAGCUGUACAUGUGUUGGCUGGCUGGCAUGAUUUGCUGUUGGUGAUGAGGCGGUCAGGGUGACAUUGCAGGGCUAUGGUCGGCUCGCUGUGAGCGGCUCGCUGUGAGCUCAACGUUUAGAUUUGCUCUGUAUGGUUUUUACCCUGAAUAAUCUAGAUAAUUGUAAAAUGUAGACACGGUUUUGUAUUGAAUGAUUCCAGGAUUUUAUGUUUAAAGUUGUUGUGGGACGAACAUGGUAGUUUGGUUCUUUGUACGGUUUUAAGUGAUAUAACUUGUAUACACUGGGUGCGUAAUAAUGUAAAGGUACACUGAAUAGUACUGUAUUAAUGACCAACAGCAACAAACAGAUCUCCUCAAGGUAAGUCUGUUGGCUGUGUUUUAAUGAAGACCAUCGCUGGACUUCAGGAUCUUCCUCCGUUCAGCUCAAGGUGAGGCGCUGGUUCUGUUUUUUCUUUGGUUGGUUCCGGCUGGAAUGUUCGGAUUCCAGUCGGACGGUUUGUGCUUCCCGCCGGGAAGUUUCUGAGUGCGGUCAUUUGAUUUAGUCCCAAUGGUUAGCAUAGAACGUUGUAGUCUUAAACCAUAAGAAACCACCUGGCAGUUAGUUGGACGGAAGUCCCCUGAGGGAAUCAGGCGGAACGUUCUGGAUUGUAUUUGCGUAACCUCGAGACGUUGUCAACGGAAAAUAUUUUUCAGUCGCUUUCCAUUGGGAAUGGUUGCCCCUAUCUUAAACAACUUAAGGUUGAUAUUAAAUACAUACUGACACGUACGUCGUACAAUAUGUUGAUAAUUUCCGAUGGUUGCGCCGUACUUUUAACCACGAUGACGUGACGGGACUCUCACUACGUACAAAACGGCGUUCUCCUUGCGGGCCCAUUUUUGACAUCAUUGAAGGCUGAAAAUAAUUUCAAGGUGGAAGAUAAUUUGACAUUUCUUCAACGGAACCCAGCACCUGAAUAUGGCUGAGUAUAUUUGAUUUACUAUCGGUACUGCUUCGUGUUCUAUGUUACUUCAGCUUUUGUAUGUUCUAAAUAUCUGCUUUCAUUAAUUGCCACAAGAUAAACCCUACCCAAUGGAAUGAUGUUAAACAACGACUUUGGUGCAGAGUUACCAACUGGAUAAUAUCAAAGCUAAAAUAAUGUCUGUCCUUCCCACAUGUUACAGUAGAAGAUACUCUAGAACUGUACAAGGUUGAAAAGGUAACAUGUAGUUUGUCCCAAGGUGUCUGCCUCCUCACCCAGAGCAAGACCUCCACCUCCUCACCCAAAGCCAGACCUCCACCUCCUGUCAGAAGUCCUCCAGUACAGCUGAAAGGCGAGGCUGGGGACCGGAGGCUUGUGGUGCCAGAGUGGACCGGAGACUGAGGCUGGAGACCAGGGGCCUGCAGCACCGGAUCAGAGGACCAGGAAUCCAUGGCUGAAGGAGUUGAUGGAGGAGCCGUGCUGAAGGAGCUGAUAGAGGAGCUGAUGGAGGAGCCGUGCUGGAGGAGCUGAUGGAGGAGCCGUGCUGGAGGAGCUGAUGGAGGAGCCAUGCUGACGGAGCUGAUGGAGGAGCCGUGCUGACGGAGCUGAUGGAGGAGCUGAGACGCUGGAGGUCGACUAGGAAUCGACCAACAAGGAUUCCUCAAAGUGUUUCUGGAGCGGAGGCAAGUUGGUAGAAGAGCGGGAAUCUGGAGGAUGACCAUCACUCUACCAACAAGCUGAAAGGCGAGGCUGGGGACCGGAGGCUUAUGGUGCCAGAGUGGACCGGAGACUGAGGCUGGAGACCAGGGGCCUGCAGCACCGGAUCAGAGGACCAGGAAUCCAUGGCUGAAGGAGCUGAUGGAGGAGCCGUGCUGAAGGAGCUGAUUGAGGAGCCGAGCUGAUGGAGGAGCCGUGCUGAAGGAGCUGGUAGAGGAGCCGUGCUGAAGGCCCUGCCUGGUGGAGGAGCUGGUGGAGGGCCUGCCAGGUGAAUGACUUCUGUCGUGGGACCAGGACUCUGUCUGAGGAGAGCUGCUGGAGGAGCUGAGACGCUGGAGGAAUCGACCAACAAGGAUUCCUCAACGUGUUUCUGGAGCGGAGGCGAGCUGGUAGGGGAGCCAAGACUCUGGAGGACGACAUCACUCUACCAACCAGGAUCCUCACCAGGAAUCUGGAGGAACGAUGGAGAAGCCGUACAUCUGGAAGGCAACUCCUUAGGACAACCAGGACUCUACUAUCAAGGAUUCCUUAUAAGUUUGCAUUAUCUGGACAUAGUGGACUAGACGCACCUGAGCUGAACCUCACCUGAUCCUGUUUUGUCGGGGGUAGACACACCUGAGCUGAACGCGCCCUGAUCCUGACAUCCUGCUGGUCCCGUCUCCUCAGUUCAUCUGAGCCUCGUCCUCCAGAAGACCUGCUGAGCUCAGCAGUCUGAGGCUGAUGGAUCAAUGACCUCCAGUGGGAGUGAUCUUCUUGACCCCACAUGUAACCCUGUGCUUCCACAUGCCUUUCCCUCACGUCUGUCACUAACUUCACUACUCUCUACUGCUUCCUCUUUUCUUCCUUCUCUGUGGUUCAAACCUUUACACUGAAGGCGCGUCUUCCUGCCCUCAGAGGGUUCAGCGUUAGGGUUGAGAGUCAGGGUUUAGAGUCAGGGACAGAGCUGGUCAGGGAGGACUGCUUUUACACAAACCUCUUCACUUGCUUUCGGAAUGGUGGACAUUUUAAAAGAUUAAUUUGGGAAAAUGUUUUCCUCUGCUUUCCUUUACAAAAUUGUGUUAAACUUCUGUCAAGUGUUUUUUAUAUUAAAAUCCCACAUUGACUUCUACAUGUUUGGUGCUGUUCAUUUAAUUGUCCUUUAACUUAGUUAAUGUCAAGCUAAACUCCUG